CCUACGGGAGGCAGCAGUAGGGAAUAUUGGUCAAUGGACGCAAGUCUGAACCAGCCAUGCCGCGUGCAGGACGAAGGCCCUCUGGGUUGUAAACUGCUUUUGUACGGGAAGAACAGCCUCCACGAGUUGGGGGUUUGACGGUACUGUAAGAAUAAGGAUCGGCUAACUACGUGCCAGCAGCCGCGGUAAU
rnacentral:rRNA from 1 species